rnacentral:rRNA from 1 species
AACUAAUUAUAGCUCAAAACACACUAUAUACAAUUAUCCCAACAACAUUAAAAUAAAACAUUCACAACAACAAGAGUAUGGGUGAUAGAAAUUCUAUAUUGACGCUAUAGAGAAAGUACCGUAAGGGAAAAAAUGAAAGAA